UACGGGGGGGGCAAGCGUUGUUCGGAAUUACUGGGCGUAAAGGGCGCGUAGGUGGCCAACUAAGUCAGACGUGAAAUCCCUCGGCUUAACCGGGGAACUGCGUCUGAUACUGGAUGGCUUGAGUUUGGGAGAGGGACGCGGAAUUCCAGGUGUAGCGGUGAAAUGCGUAGAUAUCUGGAGGAACACCGGUGGCGAAGGCGGCGUCCUGGACCAAUACUGACACUGAAACGCGAAAGCCAGGGGAGCAAACGGG
rnacentral:rRNA from 1 species